UACGAAGGGGGCUAGCGUUGCUCGGAUUUACUGGGCGUAAAGGGCGCGUAGGCGGUCGUGACAAGUCACUUGUGAAAUCUCCGGGCUUAACUCGGAACGGUCAAGUGAAACUGUCAAGCUAGAGUGCAGAAGGGGCAAUCGGAAUUCUUGGUGUAGCGGUGAAAUGCGCAGAUAUCAGGAGGAACACCUAUAGCGAAGGCAGCUUGCUGGGACGUUACUGACGCUAAGGCGCGAAAGCGUGGGGAGCGAACAGG
rnacentral:rRNA from 1 species